AUUGAACGCUGGCGGCAUGCCUUACACAUGCAAGUCGAACGGUAACGCGGGGCAACCUGGCGACGAGUGGCGAACGGGUGAGUGAUGCAUCGGAACGUGCCUGGUAGUGGGGGAUAACUGCUCGAAAGAGCAGCUAAUACCGCAUACGACCUGAGGGUGAAAGGGGGGGAUCGCAAGACCUCUCGCUAUCAGAGCGGCCGAUGUCGGAUUAGCUAGUUGGUGGGGUAAAGGCCCACCAAGGCGACGAUCCGUAGCUGGUCUGAGAGGACGACCAGCCACACUGGGACUGAGACACGGCCCAGACUCCUACGGGAGGCAGCAGUGGGGAAUUUUGGACAAUGGACGCAAGUCUGAUCCAGCCAUGCCGCGUGCGGGAAGAAGGCCUUCGGGUUGUAAACCGCUUUUGUCAGGGAAGAAAUCUUCUGGACUAAUACUCUGGGAGGAUGACGGUACCUGAAGAAUAAGCACCGGCUAACUACGUGCCAGCCGCCGCCGUAAUAC
rnacentral:rRNA from 1 species